rnacentral:rRNA from 1 species
AUGGUGAUGUGGGUGUUCGGCUACGGCUCCCUGGUGUGGAACCCCGGGUUCGCCUACGACGCCCGCCUCGUCGGCUUCGUCAGGGACUACCGCCGCGUCUUCUACCAGGGGAGCACGGACCACAGGGGCACGCCGGAAUUCCCCGGGAGGACCGUCACGCUCGAGCACCAGCCCGGGUCCACAUGCUGGGGAGUUGCUUACAAAAUUUCAAGGGAGCAAGAUAAGCAGACAGCCCUGGAGUAUCUGGAAGUAAGAGAGAAGCAAUAUGAUGAGAAGGUUUACCUUGACUUGUAUACAGAUUCUUCCCCCAAAAUACCAGAAGUCCAAGAUAUGAUGGUAUAUUUAGCCACCACAAAUAAGGAGGCCAACCAAAACUAUCUGGGUCCUGCUCCGCUGGAAGAAAUGGCCAAGCAAAUCUACCUUGCUGAAGGCCCGACUGGACCUAAUAAAGAGUAUUUGUUCAAGCUCGAGGACGCGUUAAACAAAAUAGGAGUUGUGGAUCAACAUGUUCAGGAUUUGGCGAAUGCUGUGCGCAAGUAUGCAGAUAGUUUGUAA